rnacentral:rRNA from 1 species
GGCUUAACACAUGCAAGUCGAGCGGGCAUAGCAAUAUGUCAGCGGCAGACGGGUGAGUAACGCGUGGGAACGUACCUUUUGGUUCGGAACAACUGAGGGAAACUUCAGCUAAUACCGGAUAAGCCCUUACGGGGAAAGAUUUAUCGCCGAAAGAUCGGCCCGCGUCUGAUUAGCUAGUUGGUGAGGUAAUGGCUCACCAAGGCGACGAUCAGUAGCUGGUCUGAGAGGAUGAUCAGCCACAUUGGGACUGAGACACGGCCCAAACUCCUACGGGAGGCAGCAGUGGGGAAUAUUGGACAAUGGGCGCAAGCCUGAUCCAGCCAUGCCGCGUGAGUGAUGAAGGCCCUAGGGUUGUAAAGCUCUUUUGUGCGGGAAGAUAAUGACGGUACCGCAAGAAUAAGCCCCGGCUAACUUC